AAUGAACGCUGGCGGCGUGCUUAACACAUGCAAGUCGAGCGAGGCCUGGGGGGCAACUCCCAGAGUCGAGCGGCGGACGGGUGAGUAACACGUGGGUAACCUGCCCGGAAGUGGGGAAUACCUCGGGGAAACUCGAGCUAAUACCGCAUGACAUCUUUGGGACGAAAGUCCUGACGAUCAAAGCGGGGUCGCAAGAUCUCGCGCUACCGGAUGGGCCCGCGCCCGAUUAGCUAGUUGGNGAGGUAACGGCUCACCAAGGCUUCGAUCGGUAACCGGCCUGAGAGGGCGAUCGGUCACACCGGAACUGAGACACGGUCCGGACUCCUACGGGAGGGCAGCAGUGGGGAAUCUUGCGCAAUGGGCGAAAGCCUGACGCAGCAACGCCGCGUGGAGGAUGAAGGCCCUUGGGUUGUAAACUCCUGUCGGCUGGGAAGAAGUCGUGCGGUGCUCAUACCACCGUGCGUUGACUGUACCAG
rnacentral:rRNA from 1 species